rnacentral:tRNA from 1 species
GGAUAUAGCUCAGUGUAAGAGCGCUUGCCUAUUAUGCAUAAGGCCUGGGUUCAGUCCCCAAUACCA